ACUGAGACACGGCCCAAACUCCUACGGGAGGCAGCAGUGGGGAAUAUUGGACAAUGGGCGCAAGCCUGAUCCAGCAAUGCCGCGUGUGUGAAGAAGGUCUUCGGAUUGUAAAGCACUUUCGACGGGGACGAUGAUGACGGUACCCGUAGAAGAAGCCCCGGCUAACUUCGUGCCAGCAGCCGCGGUAAUACGAAGGGGGCUAGCGUUGCUCGGAAUGACUGGGCGUAAAGGGCGCGUAGGCGGAUGGCACAGUCAGAUGUGAAAUUCCCGGGCUUAACCUGGGGGCUGCAUUUGAUACGUGUGAUCUAGAGUGAGGAAGAGGGUCGUGGAAUUCCCAGUGUAGAGGUGAAAUUCGUAGAUAUUGGGAAGAACACCGGUGGCGAAGGCGGCGACCUGGUCCUUUACUGACGCUGAGGCGCGAAAGCGUGGGGAGCAAACAGGAUUAGAUACCCUGGUAGUCCACGCUGUAAACGAUGUGUGCUGGAUGUUGGGCGACCUAGUCGCUCAGUGUCGUAGCUAACGCGAUAAGCACACCGCCUGGGGAGUACGGCCGCAAGGUUGAAACUUAAAGGAAUUGACGG
rnacentral:rRNA from 1 species